rnacentral:tRNA from 1 species
UGCGGGGUGGAGCAGUCUGGUAGCUCGUNNGAAGGUCGUUGGUUCAAAUCCGACCCCCGCAUCCA